UGCGUAGGUGGCGUGGUAAGUCAGAUGUGAAAGCCCGGGGCUCAACCUCGGAACUGCAUCCGAUACUGCCAUGCUAGAGUACUGGAGAGGUGACUAGAAUUCUCGGUGUAGCAGUGAAAUGCGUAGAUAUCGAGAGGAAUACCAAAGGCGUAGGCAGGUCACUGGACAGUUACUGACACUGAGGCACGAAGGCCAGGGGAGCGAACG
rnacentral:rRNA from 1 species